CGCGCAGGUGGUUUCUUAAGUCUGAUGUGAAAGCCCACGGCUCAACCGUGGAGGGUCACUGGAAACUGGGAGACUUGAGUGCAGAAGAGGAUAGUGGAAUUCCAAGUGUAGCGGUGAAAUGCGUAGAGAUUUGGAGGAACACCAGUGGCGAAGGCGACUGUCUGGUCUGUAACUGACACUGAGGCGCGAAAGCGUGGGGAGCAAACA
rnacentral:rRNA from 1 species